UUUACGAAUGGAAAAAAUAAAGAAAAAUGAAACUGUGGUCUGUGGGAGAAAAUAGACUACGUAAAAUUUUCCCGAUUCUUCUACCCGUUUUCCUAGACCUGAAACAGUCAAAGUUAGGUCAGUUUCCAAGUAACAAUUACGAUUCCAUCAUCAAUUUAAUCGGUCCGUGAUCUUUGGAAGAAGAGGAAAGAAAAAAAAAAAAAACCCUUGAGAUGUGCUGAUUCGAGCAGGAGAAGACCCGAAAACGAGUUUGAGUUUGAGUUUGAGUACUGGGGGAGAAUUCAAUUGGAGAGACUUCGAAGGGGUGGGGUUUACUAUGACCGACGCGUUCUCUCUGAUUCCCGCCUCUGUGCUGCGCAAUCUCUCCGACAAGCUUUAUGAGAAGCGCAAAAAUGCCGCUCUUGAGGUUGAGGGAAUUGUGAAGCAGCUCGCAGUGGCUGGUGAUCACGACAGGAUUACGGUGGUGAUCAAUCUGUUGAUCACGGAAUUUACAUAUUCGCAGCAAGCGAAUCACCGGAAGGGAGGAUUGAUAGGCUUAGCUGCUGCAACAGUUGGGCUGACUGGUGAAGCGGCUCAACAUCUCGAGCAAAUUGUGUUGCCUGUGCUUAAUUCUUUUUCUGACCAAGAUAGCAGAGUUCGGUAUUACGCUUGCGAAGCAUUGUAUAAUAUUGCAAAGGUUGUAAGAGAGGAUUCCAUCAUAUUCUUUAAUCAGAUUUUUGAUGCAUUGUGUAAGCUCUCGGCAGACUCAGAUGCAAAUGUACAGAGUGCUGCUCAUCUUUUGGAUCGGCUUGUGAAGGACAUUGUUACUGUAAGUGAUCAAUUCAGCAUUGAAGAAUUUAUACAGUUGUUGAGGGAAAGAAUGAAUGUCCUAAAUCCCUAUGUCCGGCAGUUUUUAGUAGGAUGGAUCACUGUAUUGGAUAGUGUUCCAGAGUUUGACAUGCUGGGUUUCCUUCCUGAUUUUCUCGAUGGUCUGUUUAAUAUGUUAAGUGAUCCUAGCCAUGAAAUAAGGCAACAAGCUGAUUCAGCUCUUUCGGAAUUUCUACAAGAGAUCAAGAACUCCCCAUCUGUAGAUUAUGGUCGCAUGGCUGAAAUACUGGUGCAGAGGGCAGCUUCACAAGAUGAAUUUACUCGGUUAACAGCUAUUACAUGGAUAAACGAGUUUGUAAAACUUGGUGGGGACCAGCUUGUUCCUUAUUAUGCUAAUAUUCUUGGAGCCAUUUUGCCCUGCAUAUCUGAUAAAGAGGAGAAAAUUAGAGUGGUUGCUCGUGAAACCAAUGAAGAGCUUCGUUCAAUCAUGGCUGAAUCAGCUGAAGGAUUUGAAGUAGGAGCAAUCCUCACUAUUGCAAGGAGGCAAUUGUCUAGUGAAUGGGAGGCUACUCGAAUUGAAGCAUUGCACUGGAUUUCAACUCUUUUAGAGAGAUAUCGAAAGGAGGUCUUAAGCUCCCUUGGUGACAUAUUUGACGCCCUUCUGAAAGCACUGUCAGAUCCUUCUGAUGAGGUUGUGCUCCUUGUUCUUGAGGUUCAUGCCUGCAUAGCAGAAGAUCCUCCACACUUCCGCCAACUUCUUGUUUUCCUUGUUCAUAAUUUCCGGAUAGAUAUUUCUCUUCUGGCAAAGCGUGGUGCUCUAAUAAUCCGCCGGCUUUGUGUGCUUUUAGAUCCUGAAAGGGUCUACCGUGAACUUUCAGCAAUACUAGAAGGAGAAUCUGACCUGGAUUUUGCAUCUAUUUUGGUUCAGACUUUGAAUUUAAUUCUACUUGCAUCGUCUGAAUUGUCUGAGGUCCGGGAUCUUUUGAAAAAUUCACUGGUGAAUCCGGCUGGGAAGGACUUGUUUGUUUCUUUGUAUGCUUCAUGGUGUCAUUCGCCCAUGGCAAUUAUAAGUCUUUGCUUAUUAGCACAGACGUACCAGCAUGCAAGUGCUGUGAUUCAGUCUCUGGUGGAGGAAGAUAUCAAUGUCAAAUUUUUGGUCCAGCUGGAUAAAUUGAUUCGCUUGCUGGAAACUCCAAUCUUUGCUUAUCUUAGAUUGCAGCUUCUUGAACCUGGAAGAUAUAUAUGGUUGUUAAAAGCCUUGUAUGGCCUUCUGAUGUUGCUUCCCCAGCAAAGUGCCGCAUUUAAGAUACUGCGAACCCGUUUAAAAACUGUGCCUUCAUAUUCCUUCAACGGUGAGCAAGUUAGGCAAACAUCAUCGGGGAACCCCUAUCAUAUUAUACAUCACGUGCCAAGCGGUUUGCAAAUCUGUGAGGAUGAAGAUGGGAUCCAGGAUGGUGCAAAUUCACAUAAUGGAAUUAACUUUGCUUCAAGGCUACAACAGUUUGAGCAAAUGCAGCAGCAGCAUCGUAUGCACACAAAAGUGCAGGCACUAUCACGCAACAGUUCUACCACUUCAUUAUCAGAGGUCUGUUGAGCUUCUCUUUGAUAUUCUCAGCACCAGAGAGCUUGAUAAUGAGAAUUUUUCAGGUGACAGUAAUUCAGAUGAGUUAAUGCAAAGAAGUGGAAUGACAAUUUUGACAAUCAAUGAGGUGCAAUAUUCUUAUUCGUACAGAAAAUCAAAGAAGAAAAAUAUUGAGAAAUAGAAAUAGUUCACUAAGCUCUGGAGGGAGAGCCCCUUCUAUAUCCUUUGGUUCAAAAAAGGAAAGAAAACAGAUCUCAGGUCCAUCAGAAAGGGAUCUCCCUUUCCACUUUGAUGGCAAUCACAAAAUGACAAAAUGUAUCAGCAAGAUUACAUACUUGUUUCUCCUUUCAGACUGGGUAUGGUUGUGUUGGGCUGGAUUCACAGAGAAGCUAAAGUUUCUGUUGCCUGCCUCGGAAAAUUGAGGUGCAAGGACCUGAAGAACCUCCAGACCCUGCUUCAUGGGACAUGAGUGGACCUCCGUCAAGAUCAAGGAGAGGGUCAGGUCAAUUACCAUUAUGAUUUUGUUGCUGCGUCCUGCCUCUAAUCAAGGUUGAUUGUACACUCUUCUCGGCAUGUGCCAUGGCAAAGAUCUGGUAUAAUUUGCAAAAUUGUAUAUCUUAGUUUGUUUUGUUGUCAUAGAAAUUGGGACGAUGAUAAGGGUUUCAAAGUAAGAUAAGCUAGGGUUUCCCUGAGCUAUUCUUUUUUACUUUGUAAGCAAGAUAUACCAAUGUGGUUCUGUUGUAUUUUUUCAAUCAUAAACCACGUGGGCUAGAGGGAAACAUUGUUUUAGAAGAUGCAGCAUGUUUCUUUAUGUGCAUCUGUUACAGCAACCUUAUACAAAAUAAGAAGUAAUCUAAUUCAUGUGCACAAAUUCUAAGAAAAAUAUACAUGCAUUUUGUUGUUUUUUUUUAAUUCAUUUUUUCAUGUUUCACCCACCGGAAUGUUGCUGGGGCGCAUGCGCACAUCUUGGAUAGCACCUUCGGUUGCAAUUCCCAGGGUCUAAGAUAGAGAGAAUUAUUCGUAUAUGUUAUUGUACCAGAAACGCUGAAAGGUACGUGAUCUAAAACUGGUUAUCUUCA